UACGGAGGGUGCGAGCGUUGUCCGGAAUCACUGGGCGUAAAGGGCGCGUAGGUGGCCCGUUAAGUGGCUGGUGAAAUCCCGCGGCUCAACUGCGGGGCUGCCGGUCAUACUGGCGAGCUAGAGCACGGUAGGGGCAGAUGGAAUUCCCGGUGUAGCGGUGGAAUGCGUAGAGAUCGGGAAGAAUACCAGUGGCGAAGGCGACUUACUGGACCGUAACUGACGCUGAGGCAUGAAAGCGUGGGGAGCAAACAGG
rnacentral:rRNA from 1 species